rnacentral:lncRNA from 1 species
UUUUUCUUCCCUGCCUAGUCAAAUGUUGACUUUAUGUGAUACAUGUUGCCAAAUCCUUUGGGAAAUUCUCAUACCAUAUUGUAUGACCAUGAAAUUUCAUAUGUGAUAACUAGACAUCUUGAGCUUUGCAUUGGUGUUAAUCUCAUUCAUUUCUCACCUGUUUUCAAUUUGAUAUGAUUUUUUAAAGUUGACUCAUGUUUG